rnacentral:rRNA from 1 species
GACGAACGCUGGCGGCGUGCCUAAUACAUGCAAGUAGAACGCUGAAGGAGGAGCUUGCUUCUCUGGAUGAGUUGCGAACGGGUGAGUAACGCGUAGGUAACCUGCCUGGUAGCGGGGGAUAACUAUUGGAAACGAUAGCUAAUACCGCAUAAGAGUAGAUGUUGCAUGACAUUUGCUUAAAAGGUGCAAUUGCAUCACUACCAGAUGGACCUGCGUUGUAUUAGCUAGUUGGUGGGGUAACGGCUCACCAAGGCGACGAUACAUAGCCGACCUGAGAGGGUGAUCGGCCACCCUGGGACUGAGGCACGGCCCAGACUCCUACGGGAGGCAGCAGUAGGGAAUCUUCGGCAAUGGACGGAAGUCUGACCGAGCAACGCCGCGUGAGUGAAGAAGGUUUUCGGAUCGUAAAGCUCUGUUGUAAGAGAAGAACGAGUGUGAGAGUGGAAAGUUCACACUGUGACGGUAUCUUACCAGAAAGGGACGGCUAACUACGUG